UCGAGCGGAAACGAGUUAACUGAACCUUCGGGGAACGUUAACGGCGUCGAGCGGCGGACGGGUGAGUAAUGCCUGGGAAAUUGCCCUGAUGUGGGGGAUAACCAUUGGAAACGAUGGCUAAUACCGCAUAAUAGCUUCGGCUCAAAGAGGGGGACCUUCGGGCCUCUCGCGUCAGGAUAUGCCCAGGUGGGAUUAGCUAGUUGGUGAGGUAAUGGCUCACCAAGGCGACGAUCCCUAGCUGGUCUGAGAGGAUGAUCAGCCACACUGGAACUGAGGCACGGUCCAGACUCCUACGGGAGGCAGCAGUGGGGAAUAUUGCACAAUGGGCGCAAGCCUGAUGCAGCCAUGCCGCGUGUGUGAAGAAGGCCUUCGGGUUGUAAAGCACUUUCAGCAGUGAGGAAGGCGGUGUAGUUAAUAGCUGCAUCGUUUGACGUUAGCUGCAGAAGAAGCACCGGCUAACUCCGUGCCAGCAGCCGCGGUAAUACGGAGGGUGCGAGCGUUAAUCGGAAUUACUGGGCGUAAAGCGCAUGCAGGUGGUUAGUUAAGUCAGAUGUGUAAGCCCGGGGCUCAACCUCGGAACUGCAUUUGAAACUGGCUGACUAGAGUACUGUAGAGGGGGGUAGAAUUUCAGGUGUAGCGGUGAAAUGCGUAGAGAUCUGAAGGAAUACCGGUGGCG
rnacentral:rRNA from 1 species